AACGAACGCUGGCGGCGUGCCUAACACAUGCAAGUCGUGCGAGAAAGUUCCUUCGGGAGCGAGUAAAGCGGCGCACGGGUGAGUAACACGUAGGUAACCUGCCCCCCAGUCUGGAACAACUAGAGGAAACUCUAGCUAAUGCCGGAUGAGACCACGAUCCCUUCCGGGGGUUGGCGGCCAAAGAAUGGCCUCUACUUGUAAGCUAUCGCUGAGGGAUGGGCCUGCGGGCCAUUAGCUUGUUGGUGAGGUAACGGCUCACCAAGGCUGUGAUGGCUAGCUGGUCUGAGAGGAUGACCAGCCACACUGGGACUGAGACACGGCCCAGACUCCUACGGGAGGGCAGCAGUGGGGAAUAUUGCGCAAUGGGCGAAAGCCUGACGCAGCGACGCCGCGUGGGUGAUGAAGGCC
rnacentral:rRNA from 1 species